GGGUUGUGAGGUUAAGCGACUAAGCGUACACGGUGGAUGCCCUGGCAGUCAGAGGCGAUGAAGGACGUGCUAAUCUGCGAUAAGCGUCGGUAAGGUGAUAUGAACCGUUAUAACCGGCGAUUUCCGAAUGGGGAAACCCAGUGUGAUUCGUCACACUAUCAUUAACUGAAUCCAUAGGUUAAUGAGGCGAACCGGGGGAACUGAAACAUCUAAGUACCCCGAGGAAAAGAAAUCAACCGAGAUUCCCCCAGUAGCGGCGAGCGAACGGGGAGCAGCCCAGAGCCUGAAUCAGUGUGUGUGUUAGUGGAAGCGUCUGGAAAGGCGCGCGAUACAGGGUGACAGCCCCGUACACAAAAAUGCACAUACUGUGAGCUCGAUGAGUAGGGCGGGACACGUGGUAUCCUGUCUGAAUAUGGGGGGACCAUCCUCCAAGGCUAAAUACUCCUGACUGACCGAUAGUGAACCAGUACCGUGAGGGAAAGGCGAAAAGAACCCCGGCGAGGGGAGUGAAAAAGAACCUGAAACCGUGUACGUACAAGCAGUGGGAGCCUCUUUUAUGG
rnacentral:rRNA from 1 species